ACAGUGGAGGCGGGCUUUUGAGGUCUUCCAAGCUCGUUGGUCCAGUGUGUCUCACUCUUCUGCUGCCUACGGAUCAAUAUGUAGAACUCUCAGCUACCUCUCCAGCCCCGUGUCUCCCUGCACGCCACCAUGCUCCACACCAUGAUGAUAACGGACUGAACCUCUGAACUCACUAAACAGUUCCUGAGAGGAACUACUGAGGAUGCAGUUAGGAGCCAGGCUGGACGCCAUGGGUGCUGUGAGCCGGUCCCCAGAGGUCAGCUGACCAGUUGGAAUACAGUGAGAUUGUGGAGGAAGCAACAGGACUCCCAGCACAUAUUUCUGAUGUUAUCGACUACAUGACUAAGGAAUUUGUUAGCUAUGCUAGAUGGACGGGCAGAAGAAGAAAAGCUGUUGUCGGUGGGAAUCAGGGCAGGGUGAGGCUGCAGUGUUGUGAUAGUUGCUGCAAUAGAGAAUGAGUAAAUAAACAGCGCAUGAAGACAUGGACGGAAAGCGUCACGGGGCUGAGCCAGACGGCCCCGCAGAUAAAGGGUCUCCCUGCCAUUCCUGAUGACCACAGUUUAAUCUCUGGAGCCGAAUGAUAGAAGGACAGAACUGAUGCCCACGGUUUAUCCUCUGACCCCAACACAGGCUCUGUGUUGUCUCCCUCUGUCCCUCCCUGUCCUGGCAAAGCCCGUUUUGAAGCAGCAGCACUGAGGCGUGGAGGGCAGCCUGAGAGCCGUUGUUUUGAUGCAGAGUGCCGUGGAAUACAGCGUCGCUGCUCAGAGAUCCAGAGGCUGAAGUGAGCCACCUGUCACUGACAAUUCUGGCCACAGCGCUUUAUUUUGAAUCCAGAUGAAGGGGAAAGACUUGACAGUGAUUUCAGUGGGUGAAGUCCACGGCAAAGGUCUGAAUGGCACUGUUGGUGAACACAGUCUCUGGCGAUACUCGUGUUGGGGUGGUGCUACGUGGAACUCUACAAGCCUGGACGUGCUAUAUUGAACAAUCUCCUGCUGACCAUGCUGUUUCAUACCUGUUAUCUGAGGUGCUGGUAACUUCCUGACACCGCGCAGUAAGAGACAAAGCAUAUACAUAUGUUUAAGGCAACAGAGAUGCUCAGUGGUUAAGAGCAAUCCCCGUGCUUCCAAGAGAAUCAGAGUUCAGCUCCCAGCACCCUGUGGGAGGCAAACAGCUGCCUAUAAGUCCUGCUCCAGAGGAUUCAGUACCCUCUUCUGGCCUCUUCAGGCACCGCACUCAUGCACAAACCUACACUCAGACCCACAAAGUUAUACACAAUUAAAAAGAAAAAGAAUGGAGAAAGAUUAAAAAAAACAAAAACAAAAAUCUAUCAAUCAUCUCUCUAAAUUUUAGCCUUAUUAAAAACUACUUAUAAAUUAUUUUACCCCCAAAACAUUGGUAAGUUUAUGCUCAGUUUUAUAUUUCUAAAAUUUGCUUCUAAAAAUAGUUUUCUGCUUUGAUCAAAGUUUCCCAUUUCAAAGAAAUUAUGAAGGUCCACAAGGCUUGAAUUCUGAUCAGGACAAGACAGCACUUCUUUUCAGUUAAGUGUAAUGAGAAAGGAGAAUUUAUUUACUGCUUGCUUAAAUGUAUCAAUUAUUAAUUCAAAUCAAAACCAUACAUUCAAUAUUCAGCACCACAAUUUCCUGAAAUUCGUGUAUGAAAGAGACAGUCUACAGGAACCAGGAACUGUGCUUACCAGAACUUACGGACAUUUCUGGAACCAAAAGGAGAGAUAUUUGUGAGUAAGGAAGAAAGAAGGGAAUAAAACUCACAGGAACAAUUGUGCAGGGGCUGGAGAGAUGGCUCAGUGGUUAGGAGCACUGACUGCUCUUCCAGAGGUCCUGGGAUGCAUGUGGUGUGCAUACGGACACACAGGGCAAAACACUCAUGCACAUAAAAUAAAAUAAGUGAGUUUAAAAGAAUUUUUGAAGAACAAUUAUACAAACUCAAAAUACUUUUACUACCGUGAGAAGGGUACCCAAAUCAGUCAUCUCUCCAGUAUGAAGACAAAAAACAAAACAAACAAAAAUAACUACUACACUAAUAUAUUAGUUACUACUAUAGGCAAUGCAGAAAGAUAAGUGGGGUAUUGAAAACUCAGAAUAUGGGAAGCAAUGACAUACAAGGACAGAGUUUUCAAGAUUAUUAUUAUUAUUUUAUUUUAUUUUAUUUUAUUUUUUGUAUGUACAGUGCCCACAGAGGCCAGCCAUCAGGAGCUGGAAUUAGAGGUAUUUGUGAACUGUGCUAUGGGAGUGCUGGGAACUGAACUCAGGUCUUCCAGGGGAGCAAGAAGCACUCUUAACCACUGAGCAAGUAUCCCCCAGCAAGUAUGGGAAGGAUCCCAAGACCUGGGAAUGUGGCUCAGUGGCAAAGCAGUGGUCCAGGGUGCACAAGGCUGAUUUGAUCCACAGCACCGCACACACGUCACAUGUGACACACAUGCAGUUGGACACACACACACACACACACACACACACACACACGCACACGCACACGCACACGCACACGCACACACGCACACGCACACGC
rnacentral:lncRNA from 1 species